rnacentral:rRNA from 1 species
AACGAACGCUGGCGGCAUGCCUAACACAUGCAAGUCGAACGAGACCUUCGGGUCUAGUGGCGCACGGGUGCGUAACGCGUGGGAACCUGCCCUUAGGUUCGGAAUAACUCCCCGAAAGGGGUGCUAAUACCGGAUAAUGUCUUCGGACCAAAGAUUUAUCGCCUUUGGAUGGGCCCGCGUUGGAUUAGCUAGUUGGUAGGGUAAAAGCCUACCAAGGCGACGAUCCAUAGCUGGUCUGAGAGGAUGAUCAGCCACACUGGGAGUGAGACACGGCCCAGACUCCUACGGGAGGCAGCAGUGGGGAAUAUUGGACAAUGGGCGAAAGCCUGAUCCAGCAAUGCCGCGUGAGUGAUGAAGGCCGUAGGGUUGUAAAGCUCUUUUACCCGGGAUGAUAAUGACAGUACCGGGAGAAUAAGCUCCGGCUAACUCCGU